UAAAUCCUGCUGAGGUAUAUACAACUCUACAAGCUGGUUCUCAAAUCCUUUUUUUGGAACGAGACUGAAGGAUUUCUGCAUAAAUAAUCAUAGUGGAAUUUUCAAGAUAUUUCAACGGUCUGUGGUGGCCAAAUAUGUGGAAUUGAGGCUGUUCCAGUAAAUCUGGAAUGAAUUGACACUCUAUCCACAGAGUAUGAAACUGUGUGUAGAGUAUGCAUGUGCGCGCGCGUGCACACACACACACAUACACACACACACACACACACAGGAAGAAUUCUUUUCUUGUCCAGACACUGGCAUUGGCAGUGAAACCAUCCAUUCCAAACCAAAGGAGCCCCCUCACCAAUGGCCUUGCCGCCCAGGAACCCUGCAGGGCAGAAGUUGGGGAGGGGAUAGCAGUCUGAAUAGCGGUCUUGGAUGGCUGGAAGCUGGCACCUGUGAACAAGCACCCAUGAUGGUGAUGCAUCCGGAACCAGGCUGCCCAGCCAACCAGUGCUUUCCCACCGGAGCUUUUGCUCUGGGCUCCUCUGCCGUUGAUUUCCCAGGUCCCGCCUUGCAUUUUCUCCCUCAUCUUCACAUGUGGGGAGCCCCUGACCGGCUGCUGAAGACCCCCAGACAAGCCUUCAGCUUCCAGAUCAUGGAAGGCAGCAUGGGGAGGCAGGAGACCCCUGGGAGGGCGGAGCAUGACUUUUGUCCAGGAGGCUGGACUACCGACUUCAGCAGGCUCUGGUUGGCUCUGGAGGACAUCCCUCAAGAAGUGCUGGCAGAUGUUAGAUUCCCGCCACCUGGAGGCCUGACCUCACCUGAGGGCAUCCCUGCCUGUCCAUGUCUUUUGACUGGGUGGGCAGCCCUGCCUACCUCUCUGCAGCUUCAAACACCAGCCGCUUCCACUCAGAGACACUCAAAAUGUGUCGAGGGAGGUUGUCCUCUGGACUCCUGGGAAUUGACCACCAGCAUGCGCUGCUCCGCUGACAAGGGAAAGGGCCCUCUGGCCCGCACAGCAUGGAUAUGGGCAGAACGGUUUUUCCUAACUAGGCCUUCUGGGUUGCAGCAGAACAGCAUGUGUCUGCUUCUCAAAUGUAACAGGACAAGAUGUUCAGGUCUUGUGUCCUCUGUGAAGCAGGGCUGCAAGGACCCCUUACCAAGGAGAAGAUUGUCUCUGGAAACUGCGAAAUCUGACCAGAAGGCCCUUAGCCUCCCAGGCUCUGUAGCUUCUGCAGUGAUGAGGCCUGGCCACCAGAUGGCUCCACAGAGGCCACUGCUCUCUCAGGGAAGAGGAGGCUGGGAAGAUCCAGGGGAGGACAUGGAAUUGGAUUCUCACCUGGGGAAGCUGUGA
rnacentral:lncRNA from 1 species